GGUUGGCCCAAGUGCAGUGGUGUUUACAACUAAUUGAUGACAACCAAUUAUAGAUUCCUUUGUCCCCUCUCCACUGCCACCACUUCACUUGACCAGCCUUUA
rnacentral:Y_RNA from 1 species